UAACUAUAAAUAGAUAUAGAUCACAUGACCUAACCAUUGACUAUAUAAUGUCCAAUGAUCGUCGAAAUCUUAAGAUUCUCUACAACAAUAAAUAUUGUAAAACAAGUUUAAUAAGAAAUGGGGUUGAUGCCAAUGUCAGCAAGGAUUUUCAAAACAGACAGCUGUUUUAAAGAGACUAAGAAAAAAAGGACUGAAGAAGAAAGACUUGUCAAUGAAGCUGAAUUGGACCAGAAGUUUCAUUUCAGAGAAAGAAAGAUUAGAAACCUUUCAGUGGUGGCCAUUAACUCAUUCAGCAAGACCAUAUGAAUUUGUACAGGCAGGUUUUUACUAUAGUGGCGAGCGAGAUAAAGUCAUCUGUGCAUUUUGUAAUGGAGAGCUGUCGAACUGGAAACCUACAGACAAACCCAUGGAAGAGCAUCGCCGAAGUUUCCCAGAUUGUAUAUUUGUCAAAGAUAGCAUGAGACCAAUUCAGAAUGGGGCUUCUCCAAUAGUAAAUGAGUCUGUGUAUUACAGGCAACCUGUCACCAACACAGCUGUAAUGUACAGCCCAGCCAAAUCUCAUGUUCCCACCAUGGUCCAAUCAUCGCCUGCCUAUAACAGAUUAACAGAAACACAACCAAGAACUGUUGAAACAAAUUCAAAGCACACAUAUCUUCAUCCCGUGGACAGGCCUUGUUGUACUCCACAAGCAACUAGACAAAAUGCAUAUACUGACUAUA